rnacentral:rRNA from 1 species
CUACGGCUAAUACCGCAUGAUACCUGAGGGUCAAGGCGCAAGUCGCCUGACGAGGAGCCUGCGUCUGAUUAGCUAGUUGGUGGGGUAAAGGCCUACCAAGGCGACGAUCAGUAGCUGGUCUGAGAGGAUGAUCAGCCACAUUGGGACUGAGACACGGCCCAAACUCCUACGGGAGGCAGCAGUAGGGAAUAUUGGACAAUGGGGGAAACCCUGAUCCAGCAAUGCCGCGUGUGUGAAGAAUGUCUUCGGAUUGUAAAGCACUUUUGGCAGGGACGAUGAUGACGGUACCUGCAGAAUAAGCCCCGGCUAACUUCGUGCCAGCAGCCGCGGUAAUACGAAGGGGGCUAGCGUUGCUCGGAAUGACUGGGCGUAAAGGGCGCGUAGGCGGCUGUCACAGUCAGAAGUGAAAUUCCUGGGCUCAACCUGGGGACUGCUUUUGAUACGUGGC